ACAGCAGCAGCCACGGGAAUACGGAGGGUGCAAGCGUUAAUCGGAAUUACUGGGCGUAAAGCGCACGCAGGCGGUCUGACAAGUCAGAUGUGAAAUCCCCGGGCUUAACCUGGGAACUGCAUUUGAAACUGUCAGGCUGGAGUCUUGUAGAGGGGGGUGGAAUUCCAGGUGUAGCGGUGAAAUGCGUAGAGAUCUGGAGGAAUACCGGUGGCGAAGGCGGCCCCCUGGACAAAGACUGACGCUCAGGUGCGAAAGCGUGGGGAGCAAACAGGAUUAGAUACCCCGGUAGUCCCUGUCUCUUAUAC
rnacentral:rRNA from 1 species